rnacentral:rRNA from 1 species
UGAACUGAGACACGGUCCAGACACCUACGGGUGGCAGCAGUCGAGAAUCUUUCACAAUGGGGGAAACCCUGAUGGAGCGACGCCGCGUGGGGGAUGAAUGGCUUCGGCCCGUAAACCCCUGUCAUCUGUGAUCAAAGCUUUUCGGUAAAUAGCCGGAAAGUUGAUAGUAGUAGAAGAGGAAGGGACGGCUAACUCUGUGCCAGCAGCCGCGGUAAUACAGAGGUCCCAAGCGUUGUUCGGAUUUACUGGGCGUAAAGGGUGCGUAGGUGGCGGGGUAAGUUUGAUGUGAAAGCUCUGAGCUCAACUCAGAAACUGCAUUGAAAACUAUCCUGCUUGAGGGUUGGAGGGGGGACUGGAAUUCUCGGUGUAGCGGUGAAAUGCGUAGAUAUCGAGAGGAACACCAGUGGCGAAGGCGAGUCCCUGGACAACUCCUGACACUGAGGCGCGAAAGCUAGGGGAGCAAACAGGAUUAGAUACCCUGGUAGUCCUAGCCGUAAACUGUGCACGUUUGCUGUGGGCGGAUUCGACCCCGUCCGUGGCGAAGCUAACGCGUUAAACGUGCCGCCUGGGGAGUACGGUCGCAAGAUUAAAACUCAAAGAAAUUGACGGGGGCCUGCACAAGCGGUGGAGUAUGUGGCUUAAUUCGAUACAACGCGAAGAACCUUACCUGGCCUUGACAUGCAAGUGGUAGAAGCCUGAAAGGGUAACGACCCCGUAAGGGGAGCUUGCACAGGUGCUGCAUGGCUGUCGUCAGCUCGUGUCGUGAGAUGUUGGGUUAAGUCCCGCAACGAGCGCAACCCUUGUGUCCUGUUGCCACUCCUGCGAGAGCGGGAAGCACUCCGGACAGACUGCCUCAUUUAAAUGAGGAGGAAGGUGGGGAUGACGUCAAGUCAGUAUGGCCCUUACGGCCAGGGCUGCACACGUACUACAAUGCCCGGUACAACGGGAAGCAAGACCGCAAGGUGGAGCAAAUCCCACAAAACCGGGCCCAGUUCAGAUUGUCGUCUGCAACUCGACGGCAUGAAGCCGGAAUCGCUAGUAAUGGCGCAUCAGCUACGGCGCCGUGAAUACGUUCCCAGGCCUUGUACACACCGCCCGUCACAUCAUGAAAGCCGGCUGUACCCGAAGUCGCUGCGCCAACCCGCAAGGGAGGUAGGUGCCGAAGGUAUGGCUGGUGAUUGGGAUGAAGUCGUAACAAGGUA